rnacentral:rRNA from 1 species
GACGGAGGGUGCUAGCGUUGUUCGGAUUUACUGGGCGUAAAGGGCGCGUAGGCGGCCUGGUCAGUCGGGUGUGGAAAGCCCGGGGCUCAACCCCGGAACGGCACCCGAGACGGCCAGGCUGGAGACCGGGGAGAGGAGGGUGGAAUAGCCAGUGUAGAGGUGAAAUUCGUAGAUAUUGGCUGGAACACCGGUGGCGAAAGCGGCUCUCUGGCCCGGUUCUGACGCUGAGGCGCGAAAGCGUGGGGAGCAAACAGGG